rnacentral:rRNA from 1 species
UGGGGAAUAUUGGACAAUGGGGGGAACCCUGAUCCAGCCAUGCCGCGUGUGUGAAGAAGGCCUUUUGGUUGUAAAGCACUUUAAGCGAGGAGGAGGCUACCGAGAUUAAUACUCUUGGAUAGUGGACGUUACUCGCAGAAUAAGCACCGGCUAACUCUGUGCCAGCAGCCGCGGUAAUACAGAGGGGGCAAGCGUUAAUCGGAUUUACUGGGCGUAAAGCGCGCGUAGGUGGCCAAUUAAGUCAAAUGUGAAAUCCCCGAGCUUAACUUGGGAAUUGCAUUCGAUACUGGUUGGCUAGAGUAUGGGAGAGGAUGGUAGAAUUCCAGGUGUAGCGGUGAAAUGCGUAGAGAUCUGGAGGAAUACCGAUGGCGAAGGCAGCCAUCUGGCCUAAUACUGACACUGAGGUGCGAAAGCAUGGGGAGCAAACA